rnacentral:rRNA from 1 species
CCUACGUGAGGCAGCAGUAGGGAAUCUUCCACAAUGCGCGAAAGCUUGAUGGAGCAACGCCGCGUGGGUGAUGAAGGUCUUCGGAUCGUAAAAUGCUGUUGUUAGAGAAGAAAGUUUGCGAUAGUAAAUGAUUACGUUUCGACGGUAUCUUACCAGAAAGCCAUGGCUAACUACGUUCCAGCAGCCGCGGUAAUACGUAGGUGGCAAGCGUUAUCCGGCUUUCUUGGGCGUAAAGGGUACGGUGGCGGUCUUUUAAGUCUGAUGUGAAAUCCUUGGGCUUAACCGGAGUAUCGUAUUGGAAACUGGCAGACUAGAGUGAGAAAGAGGAGAGUGGAACGCCAUGUGAAGCGGUGAAAUGCGUAGAUAUAUGGAAGAACACCAAAGGCGAAGGCAGCUCACUGG